rfam:Ipomoea nil DNA, scaffold: scaffold0542, cultivar: Tokyo-kokei standard.
GUUGAGAUGGCCGAGUUUUCUAAGGUGCUAGAUUAAGGUUUUGGUCCGAAGGGGCUUGGGUUCAAAUCCCACUCUCAACA